AACUCCCUGGCAUGUGCGCCAGUCGGCGAUGACCCUCUCCCGAUACGCAAAACCAUGGAGGCUGCACGUUUGACCGGUGUGCAUGUCCGCCCGACGGAAAGCCUGAUGGUCUUCGGCAGUCGCCACCUUGAACUUUCGGGUUCAAGGGCCUACGCCGGCAGCGGCAUGCUGGGGAGCCU
rnacentral:other from 3 species